AGGAAGAAGGGGAGUUAGAGGAGGUGAGAUUGAUUUGGAUAUGGAACCAGAUCAUUUCAUGCAGUUUGUACAUUGGAGGGCUUGCAGGAAGUUGUUCUGGGAAAUAGCAUUUCCAAUAAAGAUGAUCUUAUUCAAUUGUCAUUCACUGCUGUUCGAGUGAUUAAUUCUGUUUUCUCCUCGAUGAACCAUAUAGUAAGAGAACAUAACAGGGACAGCUUUUCAAGGUGUCAAUUUUUGUAAUACUUAUUCUUUCCUAUAGUGAAAAUUUUUACGUCACCAAUGUGGAAUAAUCCCUUCUGUUACAUAUUGUAGACUUCUUUCUAUGGUAAAUAGGUUCCUUCUCUUUUCACCCCUGAGCAUUCUGAAGAGGUAUGGCUAGUGUAAUUUCAAUCUUAGAUCUUGUUGUUUGCUUUGUUACUUGCUAUGGUAUUACUGUCACUUGGGUUGAUCUUCUGUCAUUAAGAAGUCUAGAAGUGGUAUAUGUUUCCACAGAUUGAGAUCGUGCUUGCCUCUAGAGAUUCUUCUGGUGUUUUUCUGAGUUCUUAGAAGGAUAAUGAUGUGAUUGGUAAAAGUUCAGGUUACAGAACUGAAGGAGUUUCGAAUUUUAAGAAUAUGCUGAUCCAAGUUUCAAAUUUUAAGAAUAGAGCGCUUUGCUUCCUUUAUUCUACCUCCACAAAGAUCAGAUGAGGUCAAAGUUUUAUCUUUCUUUUUAUGGUUUUUGCGGUACUUGCCUCUAUAUAUCUACCAAUUGUAGCAGCUAUUAUCUAUUUCAUCUAGACCAUAUUUAGACAGCUUCUGCUGGCCUUGGUGUUUCUCUUUAUGUUCAACCUCCUGAACAGUUUCAGGACAAAAGUUCAUACUUGGCUUCUCUUUCUUCAUGUGUAUUUCAGUACUCCAAUCCUUCAGAUAGUACUAUAAUCAAAUAGGAUCAAAAUGCGGGUCAUGUUUACACUGGUUCCUUUGUUAGACCUCCACAAAUAUCAGUACCCCCAAUUAUUGGGCUGCCUGUCAUCCAUCACCUACACGGGAAUCAGCACUUCCUUUACAGUAUAAUAUUUGCAGUUCAUUUGGUUCUCUGUAAUAUUAGGAAAUUCAUUUUCAUUUUCUUCAGCUGGAUAUAAUCUUGAGGAUGAGGAGGGCAUUAUUGAACCGGAGCAACAAGUUUCCUGGCAGAAAACUUUUAGAGAGCAAAGAUAUCAGAUUAAUGAACGCAGUAGGACGCAGUUUUAUUUGUUAUUCACAUAAGCUGGCUUAGGCGCUUGAAUUGGUUACAGCAGCAUUUGGCAGAGAUUGGCAAUGCUGAUGUUGGAGAUGAGCCUGCAAUUUCUCUAUCCUGAAUGUUUUCUUCUCUCUUUUUAGCCUGCGAACUUACACGAACUGACACAUUGCUUGCAGUUGUUAAUAUCCAAUGAAUGCUUAAAUUAAAUAUACCCUAUCGGGACUCGAAGCUCACUCAUAUA